rnacentral:tRNA from 1 species
GCCGAGGUGGCGAAAUUGGCAGACGCACUUGCCUUAGGAGCAAGCGGGAGUAAUCCCAUGGGAGUUCAAGUCUCCCCCUCGGCA